UGAAGCCUUGUGGCCUUCUCUGCAGCAUUCACGCCAUCAACUGUGUAUUGCACUGCACUUCCAGCUUUUAUUGCAUCAAUCCAUAGUUUUGUCUGCAGAGUGCCUCCAGGGUGUGAUUCGGUUUGUAGCAACAUCAAGAGACAGCCUAGCCAACAUUAUCACGGCGCAGUGAAGCAAGGAAGGACAAAACUUGGUGUGGCUGUAAUAAAGAAACACUGCACCCCCGAAGUGCAAUACUAUGCAAACGAUUUUGCUGGAAGCUGGAUAACCAGAGCUGUUUUGGCUUGCACAUAGCAACUUGUACCUGCACGCAAGCCAGUUUUUUUGACGAGAAGAGUCGUGUGACAACAGAAGCAGGAUGACAUUCCAAGAAGCACGUUUGUGGGCUUGCAACAUGUUGAGAAUUACGUCAGAACACUUUGGGACAACAGCAUUCAGGCUGACCUCUCCCUAAUUAAAAAUGUACUGACGCUAUUUUUAUUCAUCGCAAAA